UACGUAGGGGGCAAGCGUUGUCCGGAUUUAUUGGGCGUAAAGAGCGUGUAGGCGGUCAGGUAGGUCCGUUGUGAAAACUCGAGGCUCAACCUCGAGACGCCGAUGGAAACCAUCUGACUAGAGUCCGGAAGAGGAGAGUGGAAUUCCGUGGUGUAGCGGUGAAAUGCGCAGAUAUCAGGAAGAACACCCGUGGCUAAGGCGGCUCUCUAGUACGGUACUGACGCUGAGACGCGAAAGCGUGGGUAGCAAACAGG
rnacentral:rRNA from 1 species